UUCUUCUUGAGUACCCCACGUACUCAAGUAUAAUUCCCAUUUUCUUGAGUACCCCACGGACUUCAAGUAUAAUUCAAGCUUUUCUUGAGUACCCCACGUACUCAAGUAUUCAUCAAGUUUUAGUAUGGCAUUUAAUUGGUAUAUUCUGAGACACAAAAGCACUACUCGAUUCUCGCCCUCGCCGAGAGUGUGGCUGCCCGGCACCCGUUAG
rnacentral:lncRNA from 1 species